UACGGAGGGUGCAAGCGUUAAUCGGAAUUACUGGGCGUAAAGCGCGCGUAGGCGGCUAUUUAAGCUAGAUGUGAAAUCCCCGGGCUUAACCUGGGACGUGCAUUUAGAACUGGAUAGCUAGAGUACAGAAGAGGAGUGUGGAAUUUCAGGUGUAGCGGUGAAAUGCGUAGAGAUCUGAAGGAACACCAGUGGCGAAGGCGACACUCUGGUCUGAUACUGACGCUGAGGUGCGAAAGCGUGGGGAGCAAACAGG
rnacentral:rRNA from 1 species